GCUGUUAAGCUCGUAGUUGGAUCAAGAGUUGGACAGUGCACGGUGGCCUCGUCGACUGCGUGGUUCCGAUCACAAGGAAGGCGGCGGAUCAACCCCGUGCAUCAAACUGUCCACUCUAACAGACCGAAGCGGUGCCCUGUGAGUAAGCUCCUUCAUUGGGGCUGAAAGCGCCUUCGCAUUCACCAUAUGCAUACGGGCCGUCGGUCAAUGUUACUGUGAACAAACCAGCGUGUUCAAAGCAGGCUUUCGCCUGAACGUUCGAGCAUGGAAUAACAAGGGAUCGAUUCUCUCGGUUCUUUUUGUUGGUUUUUAACCCGAGAAGGAGUAAUUCAGGUCACGGUGUCUGAGCCAGGUACCCCUUCGCCCAGGCGGAGGCCCUGGUUAGGCCGUGGCCUUACGGGACUAAUAGGGACGGACGGGGUCGUACGUACUUCCACGUCAGAGGUGAAAUUCUUAGAUCGUGGGAAGACGAACUUCUGCGAAAGCAUUCGACAAGAACGCCUUCAUUAAUCAAGAACGAGAGUGUGGGGAUCGAAGAUGAUCAGAUACCGUCGUAGUCCACUACUGUAAACAAUGCCGUCUCAGGAUUGAGAAGUGAACUCUAUGACCUUCACAGCACUAACCCCUGAAACGAGAAAUCAAAGAUUUUGGGUUCAGGGGGGAGUACAUUCGCAAGGCUGAAACUUAAAGGAAUUGACGGAAUGACACCACAAGGCGUGGAGUAUGCGGCUUAAUUUGACUCAACACGGGGAAUUUU
rnacentral:rRNA from 1 species